rnacentral:rRNA from 1 species
UCGAGAAUCUUCCGCAAUGGGCGCAAGCCUGACGGAGCGACGCCGCGUGCGGGAUGAAGGCCUUCGGGUUGUAAACCGCUGUCAGAGAGGCGGAAAUGCAUAGAGGCAAUCCUCUAUGUUUGACCUAAUCUCAGAGGAAGCGCAGGCUAAGUUCGUGCCAGCAGCCGCGGUAACACGAACUGCGCGAACGUUAUUCGGAAUCACUGGGCUUAAAGAGUCCGUAGGCGGCUUGGAAGGUGGAGUGUGAAAUCCCACAGCUCAACUGUGGAACUGCGCUCCAAACCAUCAAGCUAGAGGGAGUCAGGGGUGAGCGGAACUGAUGGUGGAGCGGUGAAAUGCGUUGAUAUCAUCAGGAACACCGGUGGCGAAGGCGGCUCACUGGGGCUCUUCUGACGCUGAGGGACGAAAGCUAGGGGAGCGAACGGGAUUAGAUACCCCCGUAGUCC